UACGGGGGGGGCAAGCGUUGUUCGGAAUUACUGGGCGUAAAGGGCUCGUAGGUGGCCAACUAAGUCAGACGUGAAAUCCCUCGGCUUAACCGGGGAACUGCGUCUGAUACUGGAUGGCUUGAGGUUGGGAGAGGGAUGCGGAAUUCCAGGUGUAGCGGUGAAAUGCGUAGAUAUCUGGAGGAACACCGGUGGCGAAGGCGGCAUCCUGGACCAAUUCUGACACUGAGGAGCGAAAGCCAGGGGAGCGAACGGG
rnacentral:rRNA from 1 species